CCCGCUUGCCCGCUCCGGGCCCACUGUGCUGGUCACUAAGUUGAGGGCCUCCUGGAAGGACCGCCGGACGGUCCCCAUCCACUGGGUCAUGUGGGUUUGGGCCACCGUGAGUUUGUCUCCCAGAAGUUCUGGGCUCGCCCGGAGAGGGAAGCCAGCAGCCCUCUUCAGUGGGACCCAGAGUAAAUAAACAUCGCUGAGCCAGCAGCCUUUGGCAUCCGCGGGUCUUACUCCGAAGCAGAGGCGGUUCAGGGUCAAGUCCACCCCCCAGAGUUGUGAGUAAACACGCCGGGAGCUCCAAGAUCCAGUUCCCAGCGCUGGCCGGCUGGCUGGCCGGCUCGGGUGACCAGGAGCUUGGAGGAACUGGGCUGCCGCGCUGGCUCCAGGGCGUGACAGUCCCCGCGAGGUGGGGGAGGAAGAGGCGGUGGCCCUAGGCACCCCCGGGCACCCUCACCCUCACUUUCCCCCAGGAAGGCGGGCCCCCCAGGCGCUGGAAGGACCCGGUGCCACCCGCCGCUGCCCCCUGCCCAGCUGCCCUCUGCGGGGCCCUGCUCACCUGACCCACGCAGGUUUCCCCUCCUCCGGCUGAGGCUUCCAAACCUGUGGGCCGGCGGGCAGCUAGCUCAUUUCCGGAGGCAGCCACCAGGGCCCCGGGUCCCCUGGCUCGGCAGCCCACGAUGACAUCAGCCCCCGUUCUCAGCGAGGGGCUUCGCUGCCCAGGAAUGCAGGAGGGGCCUCGGGGAGGCGGCCGCCCAGGGAGCUGGCGUCCGCCCCCAUUUGUUCUCCCCCCCAAGUCUCAACUCGCUCACCGUCCCGCGGGUCCGACGAUGUCUGCACGUGCCCAACAGCCUACCCGCCCUGUGCCCUGACCGCGGGCGCACCGAGAGAUGCGGCUGCACGUGUGUGCGCCUGGGCACGUGUGUGCAUGUAUGUUGGAGAUCUGAUAGCCCUGGGAAGGCUGAAGCAGUUGGGAAACUGCCUCUAGGGUGAGAGGUAGCGAGCGCCUCAGGACCUCUGGUCGGUAGUCAGUCAGUCUGUCUCCCUCUGGUGGUCCCUUUCUCUGUCAGGUUCCCAGCCUCUCCUUCCUCCCCCGUCUUUCAAUUUCCACUUGUUC